rnacentral:rRNA from 1 species
CCUACGGGUGGCAGCAGUGAGGAAUAUUGGUCAAUGGACGAGAGUCUGAACCAGCCAAGUAGCGUGAAGGAUGACUGUCCUAUGGGUUGUAAACUUCUUUUAUAUGGGAAUAAAAUGUUCCACGUGUGGGAUUUUGUAUGUACCAUAUGAAUAAGGAUCGGCUAACUCCGUGCCAGCAGCCGCGGUAAUACGGAGGAUCCGAGCGUUAUCCGGAUUUAUUGGGUUUAAAGGGAGCGUAGGUGGAUUGUUAAGUCAGUUGUGAAAGUUUGCGGCUCAACCGUAAAAUUGCAGUUGAAACUGGCAGUCUUGAGUACAGUAGAGGUGGGCGGAAUUCGUGGUGUAGCGGUGAAAUGCUUAGAUAUCACGAAGAACUCCGAUUGCGAAGGCAGUUCACUGGACUGCAACUGACGCUGAGGCUCGAAAGUGUGGGUAUCAAACAGGAUUAGAUACCCUAGUAGUC